rnacentral:rRNA from 1 species
UGUGAAGAAGGCCUUCGGGUUGUAAAGCACUUUUGUCCGGAAAGAAAACUUUGUCCCUAAUAUGUGUGGAGGAUGACGGUACCGGAAGAAUAAGCACCGGCUAACUACGUGCCAGCAGCCGCGGUAAUACGUAGGGUGCGAGCGUUAAUCGGAAUUACUGGGCGUAAAGCGUGCGCAGGCGGUCUGUUAAGACCGAUGUGAAAUCCCCGGGCUUAACCUGGGAACUGCAUUGGUGACUGGCAGGCUUUGAGUGUGGCAAAGGGGGGUAGAAUUCCACGUGUAGCAGUGAAAUGCGUAAAGAUGUGGAGGAAUACCGAUGGCGAAGGCAGCCCCCUGGGCCAAUACUGACGCUCAUGCACGAAAGCGUGGGGAGCAAACAGGAUUAAAUACCCUGGUAGUCCACGCCCUAAACAAUGUCAACUAGUUGUUGGGGAUUCAUUUCCUUAGUAACGUACCUAACGCGUGAAGUUGACCGCCUGGGGAGUACGGUCGCAAGAUUAAAACUCAAAGGAAUUGACGGGGACCCGCACAAGCGGUGGAUGAUGUGGAUUAAUUCGAUGCAACGCGAAAAACCUUACCUACCCUUGACAUGGUCGGAACCC